rnacentral:lncRNA from 1 species
UGUUCCUGAAAGGGAAAUUCAAAGAAGAGAAACAGAAAGAAAUGGCUAAUUCUCCAAUAAACAUGUCCCAGGGUCCACUGAGGUCAACCAGAGCCAUUUGUGAGGCUGAGGGUUUGGAGUUAUGUGCUGGAGCCUGAGUGCUCAGCAGAGGAUGACAACUAAAGCAGUGAUUCUUCCACAAUAUAUCCAUAGCCAACGUCUGAGAGGGUCACUAGCCAACUAUUCAUUCUUCUUCAAAGAGGAAAAUCAAAGAGAAACGGAAAGAAAUGGCUGAUUCUUCAGUCAACAUGUCCAAGCGUCUGUUGACAUUCCGAGAUGUGGCUGUGGACUUCUCCCAGGAGGAGUGGGAAUGCCUGGACUCUGCUCAGAGGACUUUGUAUAUUGAAGUGAUGGUCGAGAAUUAUACCAACCUGGUGUCUGUGGAGAAUUAUUCUAUACGUGGUACUGUCCAUCGACCUCUGA